AGGGAUGUAGCUCAGUGGUACAGUGCACUUACCUAACAUGUAUGAGACCCUGGGUUUGAUUCCCAGAACCUCAA
rnacentral:tRNA from 1 species